AGACUCCUACGGGAGGCAGCAGUGGGGAAUAUUGCACAAUGGGCGAAAGCCUGAUGCAGCGACGCCGCGUGAGGGAUGACGGCCUUCGGGUUGUAAACCUCUUUCAGCAGGGAAGAAGCGCAAGUGACGGUACCUGCAGAAGAAGCGCCGGCUAACUACGUGCCAGCAGCCGCGGUAAUACGUAGGGCGCAAGCGUUGUCCGGAAUUAUUGGGCGUAAAGAGCUCGUAGGCGGUCUGUCGCGUCUGGUGUGAAAUCCCAUGGCUCAACUAUGGGCUUGCAUCGGGUACGGGCAGACUAGAGUGCUGUAGGGGAGACUGGAAUUCCUGGUGUAGCGGUGGAAUGCGCAGAUAUCAGGAGGAACACCGAUGGCGAAGGCAGGUCUCUGGGCAGUCACUGACGCUGAGGAGCGAAAGCAUGGGGAGCGAACAGGAUUAGAUACCCUGGUAGUCCAUGCCGUAAACGUUGGGCACUAGGUGUGGGGCCAGUUCCACUGGUUCUGUGCCGUAGCUAACGCAUUAAGUGCCCCGCCUGGGGAGUACGGCCGCAAGGCUAAAACUCAAAGGAAUUGACGGGGGCCCGCACAAGCGGCGGAGCAUGCGGAUUAAUUCGAUGCAACGCGAAGAACCUUACCAAGGCUUGACAUGUACGAGAAAGCCCCAGAGAUGGGGUUCUCUUUGGACACUCGUACACAGGUGGUGCAUGGUUGUCGU
rnacentral:rRNA from 1 species